AGAUUCACUUCACUUUUAUUAUGAACAAACACAAUCUCAGAUUAGUACAAUUAGCUUCAGAGUUGAUAUUAAUAGAAAUUAUUCCAAAAUUAUUCUUGUCACAAGUAACUACUAUCCCACAUAAAAAGGGAAAAAUCCCACCCAAUCAAAGAAAAAGUAUCCUCUGUAUGUUUCCAUGGCAAUGAGUUGUUUAUGUAUUCUCAAAUUUUUUCUGGCUAGUUAUCCACCACUUCUCCAAUGGAGUCAUUCAAUCUCUUGGAGAACCAUAUAGACUAAUGACAGCAUCUGGGGCACAUGGACAUAUCAAGUUCAUGGUGGACAUUGCUAUUAUAAAAACCACUCAGGUCUUGAGAAUUCCUGUGCCGAAGGAUCCCAAAAUGCUUUAUAAAAAGCAUUAGUUAUGCCUCAAAACUGCCCUUUGAGGUAGGUCAGUAUUAUUAUCCCCAUUUUAGCAGAAGGAAAACUGAGGCACAUUAUAGUUCAGUGACUUGCCCAGGGUCACAUAGCAAGUCAGUGGCACAGUGGUAGGAAAGGCCCUGGCCUUAACCACCAGCAAACAGGACCACCUUGCUUUUUUAACCUUUCAUGAUGACCCAUUUGAACUACGCUUACAGAGAAUACACUUAAGAUACUAGCAAACCAAGGAGAAAAUUUUCCAUUUUAAAUGCUACAACCAUCUUUUAACCUAAAACAAAAACAAAAAAUAAAAUAAAAUUAUAAAUCAAAUACAUUCAAAUUACUUCCACCCUCCAUCAAACGUGGGCACUUAAGAAAAGCAGCCCUAACAAGUUUCCAGAAUGAAGCCCAGAAGGGAAUCCUGCAAAUCGCAAUACUGAUAAUCCUCCACUCAGGCCCCCUUUUCUACCAGUCACUUCAGUAGGCUCUCAGGUGCAAAGGGAUUCCACAGAGGGAGUGAGGGCGGGCUCAUAUGCAACACUGUGAUUAGAAAAGAUGUAAGGCACCCGGGUUAAGUUGUCAGCACACCCCCAAAGCAAGGACUGUUAGAAAUCCAGACUCUUGAUCAGAUCUGAGUUUAUCAUUAAUGUGUCACUUGAAUUGAGCUUUAGAAUCUUGAAAAUAGUGUUCCUUACUCAGCAGACACACCCCCACCCCCAC
rnacentral:lncRNA from 1 species